rnacentral:rRNA from 1 species
GAUGAACGCUAGCGGCAGGCCUAACACAUGCAAGUCGAGGGGGAAGUUACUUUCGGGUGACUGAGACCGGCGUACGGGUGCGUAACGCGUAUACAAUCUGCCUUUCACUGGGGGAUAGCCCGAAGAAAUUUGGAUUAAUUCCCCAUAGUAUAUAGGGACGGCAUCGUUUUUAUAUUAAAGCUUAGGUGGUGAAAGAUGAGUAUGCGUUCUAUUAGCUAGUUGGAGAGGUAACGGCUCCCCAAGGCGAUGAUAGAUAGGGGUUCUGAGAGGGAUGUCCCCCACACUGGUACUGAGAUACGGACCAGACUCCUACGGGAGGCAGCAGUGAGGAAUAUUGGACAAUGGUCGGAAGACUGAUCCAGCCAUGCCGCGUGCAGGAUGAAGGUCUUAUGGAUUGUAAACUGCUUUUGUAAGGGAAGAAUAAGGGCUACGCGUAGUUUGAUGACGGUACCUUACGAAUAAGCAUCGGCUAACUCCGUG